ACGGGAGGCAGCAGUAGGGAAUAUUGCACAAUGGGGGAAACCCUGAUGCAGCGACGCCGCGUGAGUGAAGAAGUAUUUCGGUAUGUAAAGCUCUAUCAGCAAGGAAGAAAAUGACGGUACUUGACUAAGAAGCCCCGGCUAACUACGUGCCAGCAGCCGCGGUAAUACGUAGGGGGCAAGCGUUAUCCGGAUUUACUGGGUGUAAAGGGAGCGUAGACGGCAUAGCAAGUCUGAAGUGAAAUGCAUGGGCUCAACCCAUGAACUGCUUUGGAAACUGUUAAGCUAGAGUGCAGGAGAGGUAAGUGGAAUUCCUAGUGUAGCGGUGAAAUGCGCAGAUAUUAGGAGGAACACCAGAGGCGAAGGCGGCUUACUGGACUGUAACUGACGUUGAGGCUCGAAAGCGUGGGGAGCAAACAGGAUUAGAUACCCUGGUA
rnacentral:rRNA from 1 species